AUAGCGUAUAUUAAAGUUGUUGCAGUUAAAAAGCUCGUAGUUGAAUUUCGGGAUUUAUCCGUCGGUCGGGCUUUUGGGUCUGUACUGGCGUGAUGAAUUCCUACCUUCUGAAUAACCAGCAUGCCAUUAAUUUGGUGCGCCGGGGAGGCAGGACUGUUACCUUGAAAAAAUUAGAGUGCUUAAAGCAGGCUAUUGCCUGAAUACAUUAGCAUGGAAUAAUGAAAUAGGACGGCAUGGUUCUAUUUUGUUGGUUUCUAGGAUCACCGUAAUGAUUAAUAGGGAUAGUUGGGGGCAUUAGUAUUCAAUUGUCAGAGGUGAAAUUCUUGGAUUUAUUGAAGACUAACUUCUG
rnacentral:rRNA from 1 species